rnacentral:rRNA from 1 species
AUUGAACGCUGGCGGCAGGCCUAACACAUGCAAGUCGAGCGGAUGAAGGGAGCUUGCUCCUGGAUUCAGCGGCGGACGGGUGAGUAAUGCCUAGGAAUCUGCCUGGUAGUGGGGGCUAACGUCCGGAAACGGGCGCUAAUACCGCAUACGUCCUGAGGGAGAAAGUGGGGGAUCUUCGGACCUCACGCUAUCAGAUGAGCCUAGGUCGGAUUAGCUAGUUGGUGGGGUAAAGGCCUACCAAGGCGACGAUCCGUAACUGGUCUGAGAGGAUGAUCAGUCACACUGGAACUGAGACACGGUCCAGACUCCUACGGGAGGCAGCAGUGGGGAAUAUUGGACAAUGGGCGAAAGCCUGAUCCAGCCAUGCCGCGUGUGUGAAGAAGGUCUUCGGAUUGUAAAGCACUUUUAGUUGGGAAGAAGAGCAGUAAGUUAAUACCUUGCUGUUUUGACGUUACCAACAGAAUAAGCACCGGCUAACUUCGUG